GGUGUGCGCCAACUCACCUACGUCCUGGGGCUAUAUUAAGGCGGAGUUUGGCGUCUGCAACUGCCCGCCAUCCCCACCACUCCUACCACCAUCACCCAACCCCCCAAUGCCGCCCUCACCUUCGCCACCUUCACCAAGCCCUCCAUCACCCUUGCCACCUAGGCCGCCAUUCCCAUUACCACCACCACCUCCACCACCACCGCCACCAAGAGUGUCACCAUCACCACCACCGUCCCCCUCCCCGCCACCACCUUUGCCGCCACCCUCUCCACCUCCACAACCCCCGCCUUCGGUCCCCUCCCCCCCUCCCCCUCCGCCAUCCCCGGCACCCCCGCUGCCUCCCCCCCCAUCCCCUCCUCCUUCACCACCUCCUUCACCUUUACCCCCACCUCCCUUACCGCCGUCCCCACCACCACCUUCUCCACCACCGCCACCCCUGCCACCCCCGCCUCCCCCCCCAUCCCCUCCUCCUCAGCCGCCCCCUCCUCGCCCACUCAGUCCCCCUCCCCUGCCACCCUCGCCAUCCCCUCCCCCCCCACUUUCCCCUUCUCCACCACCACCACCCCGCCCGCCCCCACCGGCACCUAAGGCUCCUAGGUCUCCCCGAGCCCCCAAACCCCCCAAAGUCCCCAAGGCACCCCAGCCUCCACCUCGACCCGCAAACAACCUGCUCGUCAACAAGUUCCCCUUCUCGUCCUGCAGCGCU
rnacentral:lncRNA from 1 species